UACGUAGGGGGCAAGCGUUGUCCGGAAUCAUUGGGCGUAAAGAGCGUGUAGGCGGCCCGAUAAGUCCGCUGUGAAAGUCCAGGGCUCAACCCUGGGAUGCCGGUGGAUACUGUCGGGCUCGAGUCCGGAAGAGGAGUGUGGAAUUCCUGGUGUAGCGGUGGAAUGCGCAGAUAUCAGGAGGAACACCAAUAGCGAAGGCAGCUCGCUGGGACGUUACUGACGCUGAGACGCGAAAGCGUGGGGAGCAAACAGG
rnacentral:rRNA from 1 species